GACGAACGCUGGCGGCGUGCUUAACACAUGCAAGUCGAACGGUAAGGCCCUUCGGGGUACACGAGUGGCGAACGGGUGAGUAACACGUGGGUGAUCUGCUCUGCACUUCGGGAUAAGCCUGGGAAACUGGGUCUAAUACCGGAUAGGACCACUGCCUGCAUGGGUGGUGGUGGAAAGCUUUUGCGGUGUGGGAUGGGCCCGCGGCCUAUCAGCUUGUUGGUGGGGUAAUGGCCUACCAAGGCGACGACGGGUAGCCGGCCUGAGAGGGUGACCGGCCACACCGGGACUGAGAUACGGCCCAGACUCCUACGGGAGGGAGCAGGGGGGAAUAUUGCACAAUGGGCGCAAGCCUGAUGCAGCGACGCCGCGUGAGGGAUGACGGCCUUCGGGUUGUAAACCUCUUUCAGUAGGGACGAAGCGCAAGUGACGGUACCUACAGAAGAAGGACCGGCCAACUACGUGCCAGCCGCCGCAGUAA
rnacentral:rRNA from 1 species